UGUUGUUUACCUUGUGUUGCAUGGAAUCGGGGUGGUGUAUUUUACAUGGUCUGCCUGUGUCGGGGUGCUUAUUGGACAGUGCGAAGCAUGUUUUGAUAGUAAGUAAGUAAGUAAGUAAGUAAUUUUAUUUAUUAUAGUGGCAUGUGUACAUAUAUUCAUACAUCCAAUUUUAUCACAAUACACAAAUCAAUAAACACCCGGCCCGUCGGGCCUAUAUGCCACUUUAAACAUUGAUAUAAUAAUAUAUAAUGCAAAUAAUUGCGCAUAAUAACAUUUUCUAUAAUUAUAUAUACAUACAUGUGUAUACAUGUAUAAUAAGUAUAUAAUGUAUAAAUAGCUCAGUUGUUGAUUUUUCCAAAUAUAAUAGAUUGUCUAAGAGAAAAGGAGGAGUACAAGUAUUUUGCUAAUUGUCUUGGGUAGUUUGUUAUUAACAUUCGAAGAACCUCUACAUCUGACAUUGACAUUUGAUCAAAUCCCGUAUUUUCAAACAAAGUUGUUCUGAGUUUAGAAUACAAUGGACAAUAGAGUAAAAAAUGAAUUUCGUCUUCCACACAAUUUAAUGAAAACAAUGAGCAUAUUCUUUCAACAGCAGGUUCCCCAUAAUAUCUUCCCGUCUCUAUUCUUAAAGGUAAAAUACCACAUCUAAACUGCGACAUAAUUGACCUAAAGUAUUUUGGCAUAUCCAAUGUUACAUAAUUUUCUCGACCAAAGUUUGAUUUUAUAGACACAUAAGUUCGCAAUUUAGGUACUUUAAAUACUUCAUUUUUCCAGAUAUUUGAGUAAUAGUAAUGCAUAUUUGUUUGAAGAACAUUCAUGUCUAUUAACAAUUUUGAGUCAAAAUAACUUUCCAGUUCCAAAUUUUGCAAAAUUUCUUUCAGAGCACUACACCAGUUGUUUCUACAUAUAUCAUAAUCCAUUUCAAACACUUUUCUAGUAAUGCGUUCACUGUCAAAUAACAAUACUCUAUUCCAAAAUCUUAUCAUAUUAAUCCAUCGACGAUAUUGACUGGGUAUCCACCCCGUAUCUCCAUAGAUUGCCAAUAAAGGCGCAAAACGAUGUACUCCCAAAAAAUAUCUAAUGGCUCGAUUUUGAACAUUAUCUAUUGACUGGAAUUUUCUGAACCCCCAAACACUGGACGAAUAGUCUAAUAUAGGUAAAACGCAAGAGUAAAAUAAUUUUUCGUAAGCAGUGAAUCCAAAUUCUUUAUUAUUGUGUAUUGUAGAAAUAAUUUUUCCAAGUGCCCGUCCUCCAGCUUUGGCAAGAUUUUCUGCAUUUUUUGUAAAAUUUCCAGUGUAAGUAAAUAUGAUUCCAAGAUAUUUAUAGCUAUCUACUAUUUCUAAUGUAUUUGUUCCAUUAGUAAUCAAUCGGGAAGACGGAUUUCAAUUUGACAUAUCCUUUUCACAAACGUGAAUGACAACGAUGAUAGGCCUAGUGUCACCACCAAACAAUCGGACAUUCCCGAAUUUUGCCUCUCGCUGACAGCACCCAAAAUAUGCAAUAAGAUGUCAUGGGUGCAAUGGUUUUGUUCGCAAACUUCAUAGCAGGGCAGAUCACUCCUUUUCUGGUUGCAAUGCAGAUUGUUCCACCAGACUCUGCAAGCCCAUGUUUACAGACAAGCAAGAUCGCCUUUGAAGUCGUACCUAAAUGCAUGUGCUUUAAUUAAAAUUUUGAUAUAUAGACCAGCCAAUAUUUAUAUGGUGUAAAAGGAUGCAACUUUAACUAUUAUUUGAUAAUAUGUAUGUGACUUGUUGUUGGAGAGGAUUUUUUUUGCACAGAAUAUAGAUGAUUUUAAUAAAAUAUUUAUGUAUAUCUU